GCCGUUUUAGCUCAUGUUGGCAGAGCGGCUGUCUCGUAAGCAGCAGGCCGCUGGUUCGAUUCCAGCAAGCGGCACCA
rnacentral:tRNA from 1 species